rnacentral:rRNA from 1 species
AGCGAACGCUGGCGGCAGGCCUAACACAUGCAAGUCGAACGAACCCUUCGGGGUUAGUGGCGGACGGGUGAGUAACACGUGGGAACGUGCCUUUAGGUUCGGAAUAACUCAGGGAAACUUGUGCUAAUACCGAAUGUGCCCUUCGGGGGAAAGAUUUAUCGCCUUUAGAGCGGCCCGCGUCUGAUUAGCUAGUUGGUGAGGUAAUGGCUCACCAAGGCUACGAUCAGUAGCUGGUCUGAGAGGAUGACCAGCCACAUUGGGACUGAGACACGGCCCAAACUCCUACGGGAGGCAGCAGUGGGGAAUCUUGCGCAAUGGGCGAAAGCCUGACGCAGCCAUGCCGCGUGGAUGAUGAAGGUCUUAGGAUUGUAAAAUCCUUUCACCGGUGAAGAUAAUGACUGUAGCCGGAGAAGAAGCCCCGGCUAACUUCGUGCCAGCAGCCGCCGCCGUAA